rnacentral:rRNA from 1 species
GACGAACGCUGGCGGCGUGCUUAACACAUGCAAGUCGAGCGGAGCGGCGAAUGGGUGAGUAACGCGUGAGUAACUGCCCCCCUCUCUGGGAUAACAGUUGGAAACGGCUGCUAAUACCGGAUAGUGGGGGAUGACUCGCGUCCUAUCAGCUUGUUGGUGGGGUAGUGGCCUACAAAGGCGACGACGGGUAGCCGGCCUGAGAGGGCGACCGGCCACAUAGGGCAGGGAAGCGAGCCAAACUCCUACGGUAGGCAGCGGUGGAGAAGAGUGCACAAAGGGGGGAACGCGGAAGCAGCAACGCCGCGUGCGGGAGGACUGCCUUCGGGUUGUAAACCGCUUUCAGCCAUGAGGCGGUAGUGGCAGAGGAAGCACCGGCUAACUACGUGCCAGCCGCCGCGGUAAUUC